rfam:Triticum urartu cultivar G1812 contig967019, whole genome shotgun sequence.
AUAAUACUCCCUUCGUCCAAAAAUACUUGUCAUCAAAAUGGAUAAAAAGAGAUGUAUUUAGAACUAAAAUAUGUCUAGAUACAUCCCCUUCUAUCCAUUUUGAUGACAAGUAUUUCCUCGAGGGAAUACACA